UUUUUUUUUUUUUAAAAUAAAAAAUUGUAAGGAUUAAAUUAUUAGUACUGUAAUACUUAUUUAGUGCUCAAUAAUAAUUAAAAAAUAAAAAUAUUGACCAACACCAAUAUUUAUAGGUUGAAUGAUAAAAAAAUAUAGCUCAAAUGAACAAGCGAUAUAAGUCGAUAAUAUAAACAAUAGAAAUUGACAAAAUACAAAAAUCUUGCAUAUAUAAAACUAGUCUGAAAUGAACAAGCGAUAUAAGUCGAUAACAUAAACGAUAAAAGUUGGCAAAAUACAAAAAUCUUGCAUAUAUAAAACUAGUCAAUUAAGAAAAAAAAAAAACAAGCGUGACAAACACACAUAUUUUUUUUAAAUAAGCGUGACAUAAAAUAUAUAAAGAGAGAUACACAUAUUGUGAUAUUUUUUCUUAGUUGAGAAGUGUGUUGAUAAUAAAAAUCAAUUAGAAAUUAUAGAAAUUUAGCUAGGACUUUAAAAUAGUAUUGAGAACCUUGAAAGAAAGAGAAUUGAAAUAUUUUUCAUUACAACUAUGUGAAAAAAAUUACAUAAUAUUUUAGAUUCUAAUAUUUAUACUUGAGCAAAAUAUAAAAAUAUAGCAUUUUAAAUAAUAAGGACAUACAAAUGUACCCUAACUAAAAAUGAACGCAACCUGAACUCCAUAAUGAACCCCCAAGACCACUGCUACACCUUUCAGUUAUCUUGAGGGAGUUUAUUUAAGUUUAUAUUCAAAAAGAUCAAGACAUCACAUACUAUUCUUUUUCAAAGUAAAUGAAAUCAACGAAGUUCUUUCCAAAGAUAAACUCAAAAUACUGAAAUGUUGCUUAACGUUCUUGACGAUCAAAUACAUGUUAAGAAGGUCUAAAAUCAUUUAUGUUCGAGAAAUACGCUAUUAAAUUGUUUUCAUAUUGAACUCUUUGCUUGUAUAUUGUUGAGGCUAGUGUUUGUGAGAAAAUCUCUAAACCAAUGGGCCGAUAAUUUUGGGCUUCGAUUCAAAGAAAAACGAUCAACAUGAUAAAGCCCAAAUUUGACGGUGUAACCAAAUCUCCACUCAAAAUUAUCCAUUAAACUCCAUACGAAAUAACCACGUACAUCAGCACCAUUC
rnacentral:lncRNA from 1 species